AUAUUGAUAUUAUAUAUAUAGCUUAAUUGUUUUAUCUACAUUUUUACUAAAAACUAAAUCUAUUCAUCUAAUUUGUUUUAAAAAAUAAAAGUUGAAUGUCGCAUCCAAUUUUUUGCAAAUUGUAUAUAUUCAAUAUCACAUAUAAUUUUGGAAAUUAUAAAUUAUAUAUUAAUAUCAUCCUCUCUUUCCACAAAAUCAUCUUUUCUACAUUUUUUUAUUAUUCAGUCACCUACGUAUGCAUUAUUGUCACUAUUACUAUCAGUGGGUUUUUUCAGCACCACUACCAUCUUUUCGUUCUUCACCAUUCGUUAUAUUCUCACCUUCUCCAGCUAUCUCUUUCUCUCCUCCACCUCCUGUAUAUGCUUCUCUUUUCCAUAAAUUUCGGCGAAAACUCUACCAAUUCUUCAGAAAACACUAUCUCAUUUUCCGUCUCUUGUUUUUUUUUCUUCGCCUAUGGCACUAACAACAACAUUAACCCUUUGGUUCCUUGUUCACCUCUGACACCAACAGAAAAAUCCUCCUUUUCUACCACCAUAAUUGGUUACCACUGUUAUAUACACUUUUUCCACCUAAACCAUCUUCUUUAUCGUCUUCAAUAACAUUUUCUCCGUCUAAACCAUUAUUCAUUACAUGGUUCUCUUCUUUCACUCCUUCAAAAAUCUGAGUCAGACUUUGGAAGACUUCUUAGAAGACUCUUGGAAGAUUUUCGGAAAACUCAUGGAAAACUCUCAGAAGACUCUUGGAAGGAAGUCUUCUAAUGUAUUUUAUGCUAGAAGACUUCCCACGAAGUCUUCGGAAAGUCUUCUGCUCAAAGUGGUACAAAGGACUAAUGUCAAGUGGAGUCCAAGCUUAUCUAUGUUAAGAAAUGAUAUUUAGCGCCAUGUGUAAUAGUUUUGUUUAUGGUCUGUUUUAUGAUUUGUAUGUGUACUAUUUUAGUUUUGAAUUCUUUUGUAAGCUUGAAGAGAUGUUAAUCAAAAGAAUUUAGUAUA